GAUGAACGCUGGCGGCGUGCCUAAUACAUGCAAGUCGAGCGAACAGACGAGGAGCUUGCUCCUCUGACGUUAGCGGCGGACGGGUGAGUAACACGUGGAUAACCUACCUAUCUGACUGGGAUAACUUCGGGAAACCGGAGCUAAUACCGGAUAAUAUAUUGAACCGCAUGGUUCAAUAGUGAAAGAUGGUUUUGCUGUCACUUAUAGAUGUAUCCGCGCCGCAUUAGCUAGUUGGUAAGGUAACGGCUUACCAAGGCAACGAUGCGUAGCCGACCUGAGAGGGGGAUCGCCCACACUGGAGCUGAGACACGCUCCAGACUCCUACGGGAGGCAGCAGUAGGGAAUCUUAGGCAAUGGGCGAAAGCCUGACGGAGCAACGCCGCGUGAGUGGUGAAGGUCUUCGGAUCGUAAAGCUCUGUUAUGAGGGAAGAACAAAUGUGUAAGUAACAAUGCACGUCUUGACGGUACCUAAUCAGAAAGCCAUGGCUAACUACGUG
rnacentral:rRNA from 1 species